rnacentral:rRNA from 1 species
CCCUUAGAUGUCCGGGGCCGCACGCGCGCUACACUGAAGGAAUCAGCGUGGCUCUGUCCCUGGUCCGAAAGGAUUGGGAAACCCGUUGAAUCUCCUUCGUGAUAGGGAUUGGGGCUUGGAACUGUUCCCCAUGAACGAGGAAUUCCCAGUAAGCGCGAGUCAUAAGCUCGCGUUGAUUACGUCCCUGCCCUUUGUACACACCGCCCGUCGCUACUACCGAUUGAAUGGUCCGGUGAAGCCUCCGGAUUGGCGCGCACCUCGGUGCCGCCGAGAAGUUGGCUAAACCUUACCAUUUAGAGGAAGGUGAANUCGUAACA